ACUAAUAAACAGAACAUUGACAAUGUACUUUGGACUUUGAACAGAAAUCCUGUGACAGACAGAUUCCAGGAAAGCAAUGAAGGAAUCAACACAGAGACACCUGCAGCCACUUUUCCCACCUUGAUUCCUGCAAGAAUAUUUCUACUGGAGUAAAACUCUAUGAACGCACCAAGUGUGGAAACGGCUUCCUGCAUCUUUCUUCCCUUAAGAGGCAUGUCCGAUCUCACUGUGGACAAAAGCCUUAUCUGUGUCAGGAAUGCUGGCAGGCCUGCAUUUGUCCCACGUGCCUGAGAACUCACACUCGAGAGAAACCCUAUGGAUGUAAAUUAUGUAGUAAAACUUUUCCUUUUUUCUACUCCCUCACUCAGCGUAUCAGGAUUCACACUACAGAGAAAAACUAUGAACGCAAAGCAUUGUGGGAAAACCUUCCAUGAAUUCUCCAGCCGCUGUAGACAUGUGAGAACUCACACUGGGGAGAAGCCGUGGGCACGUGAGAACCCACGCCGGAGAGAAACCUCACCAGUGCAAACUGUGGGAAAGCCUUCAGCUGGCCCUCAACCUUUCUGAACCAUGUGAGGAUGCACUCUGGGUAGUAGCUCCAGGAAGGCACGGUCUGUGUGAAACAUUUCAGUUAAGUCGUACUUUCUAGAGAGGAAUUCCAUGUUUCUAAGUCAUGUUGGAAAACCUUGUACUAAUUUAUGUAUAAUGCCCCAGAAAAUUCAUGCCAAGGCAAAAAUAUAGAAGAUAUAAAUAUGG